UGAGGGUGAAUACGGGCCUUGAUUGCCAGA
rnacentral:piRNA from 1 species